rnacentral:lncRNA from 7 species
CAUUCUGGCCAUGAAAGCAGAUCUGGCCACAAAUCUUCUGAGGUUUCAUCUCCUGGUUUCUGAGACUGCUAUGAACUACUUAAAACAAGAAAAGGAUUGAUACAUCCUAGUGGGGCUUGAGAUACUUCCCCUCUGCUACCGUGAACAAGUCAGCAGAAGAACAAGCCUUUCAGUACCUGUGGCUUCAGGAUGGUGAAUAGAUGUAACAUCCUUGUGCUUCAGAGCUGCAGGGCAGUCUUUUCGAGUGUCGUCGCUUCCCCACGCUCUGCUCAACUCUGAAAAGCAGGUGAAUGUGAGAUGGCAGCCUGCUCUUCCGGAAGCAGGUAAUGACUGAAGUUGUUUCUACGCUUCCUAAGGAUCUACAUUUGAAAAAUGAAGGCAAGCAGUACAGGAACAAAGGAGAACUUAAUUCCAACAUGUGAGUUCAAAUUUAAAAAUUUGAAAUGAAUAAUUUAAAAAAGAAAGUAACUUGGUUUUAAUUACUUGAGUUGUUCUAACUCUGUACAUUUUUUUUAACCUUUUCCCUCCCUCUGCCAGUCCCAUCAAUUAGUCAAUAUCACAGUUGAUCCUUAAUCAUGCCUGAAGCUAUCCUUAAAUGUUUUCUUGUAGUUAUGUGUCUGUUUGUAUAUACGCACACGUGUGUGUGUGUGUGUGUAUAUAUAUAUAUAUAUUAUGCAGAGAGGAUGAUGGCUGAAUAUGACUGAAACUCCUUAAAGUAAAAUUAAGCUAUUAUAAGAAAAUGUGUGGAAUUGCCAUGGUCCCCUUGGAUUCAAGCUGACAAUGAAACUGUACCUUAUUUGUAGUGCUCUUUUGCUCUUUUUAUUUGUUUUGUUUGGUGUAGUCUUCCAUUUAUUUGUUUUUGGUUGUACUGAGCUGUGCUACUGCAAGAGAAAAUGAGCUUCAAUAUUGAGCAGCUAUGUUUGUACCAGUCAGUUCUAUGGCAAAAACAGUGAGAAUCUCAUGUAUUAUGUAGUAUUUUCAACUUCCCAUCUUCACACAUUACUGCUUUACUAACUUAAACUUUAUGCUGGGCUUAGUUCAACUGUUCUGAAUGAAACUUCUAGGGGAAAAAAGAAAAAAGAUUCAGGUGGAAGUUACAGGAUGAACUUAAACUGAAUGAAGAAGGAAAAUUUGGGUAUUUAAAGUUUGAGUAUGAUGUUGCACAUACUCUGAAAAUGUCACAGAAAAUUAUUAAUGAUCAUGGAAUUGUAUGCCUUUCAGUUGGUACUUUUUCCAGCAGCAGAGCCUUUGCACUGCAUAGAACACCUGCUCCUGCUGAAGGACAACCAGCUGCUUGGUUCCUGGGAGCAGCGAGAACAGCAGUCUUCUUGGUUGAGACAUGAUAUCCUGUGCUUUUCUUCAUAGGAACAAUAUAUAUGAGAGACAAAAAUUGUAGAUAGAGAUUGAGAAGCAACUUUAAAAUACAGAUGUACAAGCUGAGAUGGAUUGGGCUGAGAAGUGUAAUAGCAAAAAGCAGAUAUACUGUAGAAAGUGCUAAUGAUUAAGAAUAGCUAGGAGAUACCAAUCUAAAAUUAGGCAGAAUUAUAAAAUAAUACUGAGCCUUUGUAAAGCUUUAAAUAGAUUAUUUUUCUCAAUUUCUGACUCUCAAAACUGCAGUCUGUACAACAGACAGAUUCCCAGCUUGACCUGCUAUUAUUUCCUUAGAAGCCUUUUAUUUGAACACAGCAUCCUUCAACUAUUCAACAGAAGACCUUGAACUUUGCUUCUGCUCAUAGCAGAGGUUUUACUGAGAAUAUUUUUAACAAGACUUCUUUUCUUUUAUGGAUGCUUCUAGAAUACAUAUGAUACUAGUUUCCUUGGAGACUGACAUGCAGUCAGUACAAUGGCCUUAUAGCACCUGUAAAUCAAACUUGGAAAGAAGGCACUGUUCUUGUUAGUGGAAAUGAUAUUUAUGCAUGGUGGUGAAAGAAAAGUGCUUUGCUUCCUGCCUGUCUUUUGGAGAGUGGGAUGGCAGUAGUACAAUAUAGAGCCUGGAGGUGUAUCGUGAGACUCUGUCAAGUAGUAAAACCUGAAUGGACUGUCUGCAUAGCAGAGUUGAGGCCACUGGGACUUAUCAAAAUAUAGCAUAAGGAUGCUUCUAGAAUUAAGGCCUUAUAUUACAAAUGAUUUUGUGGCUGAAAUAGUUACUGAGUUAAUUGUAUAAGCACCACAAACUUUUCAAAGAUGAAAAGACAUUUUAGUAAUUCUAAUCAGCUUGAACAUUGCUUUAGCAACUUUUUUCAUGCUGUCACAGAUCUUGUAAUCUUCAAUUAUUCCUUUUGUUUCCCGGUCCUGUGUGAAUACAUACAACACAUGCACCAUGAUGAGUUUGGAUUUGUUUUCUGAAACCCAAGUACUUUCUUUUUCUGUUCUUUCACAGUAUGGUUAUGGGACAUGCCCUGAUGCUUUCCUAGUCUUUUUUCCUUAUGUCUACAUUUGAGGAUGUUAUUAGAUUUGGCAGUUAGAAAUUUCGUCAACGUUUAGCUUCCCAGAUCUUAUCUCACAUAGAAACAAAAUGAAAAGAUAUAUUUGCUUAUAGAUUAACUACAGAUUCAACAAGGGCUGAAACUAAAUAAUUGGAGACUCAACUGUGAAGCAAGUGAUGUAGUAUGAGUGAAAAAGGCUUUACCAUUACAACAGACGUGAGAAUUCAGUCUAGCAGCACUUGAGCAAAUAACAAUUACACAUAAAAUCCAUAUAUUUUAUACUUUAACACCAGUGCUGUUCCUGCCGAUGUCAACACCCAAGUUUUCUGUACCUUUAGUUUUAGGGAAAAGUUCUCUGGAAUAGAUCAAUAGAUGAAAGUUUCCAACUGUAGAUACAAAUAGUUGAACAGAUGUAUGAAAUACCCUUCACAACUGGUACAAAUUGUAUGACUGUGAUGUUCAAAGGUUUGGUUGAAGUGAACUAGCUGUGGGCUAAUUGGCUGAGAUAAUAAUGGGAUAAUAAUAAGGGGAUCCUUCUGACUUCCAAUUUUUUUUAAUUAUUAUUAUUUAAGGGAAUUGUGCAAGGGAAAGCCCUCAGUGAGAGAAAAUGGUUGUCCCAGCUUAUCAUGGUACUUCCAAGUGAAAAGGAAGCCAUCACCUACUGUGUAUAAGUUUAUUAUCAGCAACUUCAGAAUAUGUAGUGUUGACAUCUACAAUUAGAAAAGCUUAAGUUGAAUGAAAUUUGAUCAGAUUUUGUGUUGCCAUAGGGCAAUCCUACUUCUUGUUUCUUUGUGCCAUCCAUUGUAAUACAAUGUUGUAAAUACAUGAUCAUUUUUAAUUAAAUGCUCUCCUGUACUAUCAGCCACUUUGUAUAGGCUUACAGGUGUUAUGCAGAAUUAAUUUCUUUCAUCCAGUGAAAAGCAUUAUCACGUCUACUAUGGAUAGUUAAUUCUCUCUUUGCAUUUCCUCCCACAUUUACAAAUCUCAGAAUGCCUCAAUCUAGUUUAUUGUCAGUGAAUGAAUGAAUGCAGGUAUCAGGUCUUUUUUUCAUAGGUCAGUUUUGUUGCAAUUGCUACUCAAGCAGCUAUCUGGCUGGAUACUUUUGGACUGUAACAUUAUCGAAGUAGCAGUGCCUCACAUGAAUUAUAUGAAUCUCAUUGUAUUUUGUAAUGUACUGCUAAAGAUUGUCUGUAACUUUUUUCUACAAGAAGG